CACACGACGUGAACUGGGGCGGUGGCAGCACGCCAGGCCUCUGACGUCCCAGGGCUCAAGCGCGGAGGACAUGUGGAACUCCACUCCAAAAGCGGCGGCUUGCGGCGGAGCUCUCUCUAGUGAGGCGGCCAGCUGGCGUUCGUGGCACACUUGCUGUCGGCUCCGCUCAUCUGUUGGGAAUGCGUCCUGUGGGCCUAGUCCUCCGCUGGAAGAAACGCGCUGUUCUCCCCAACCACCGUUUAUCAUUCUUAUUCACCGUCUCCGGAAUGUCCAUUCAGUUUCCGCUCCUGAGAGACUUAGUGACUGAGGCCAGGCAAAGAUUUCACCUUGGGGAGGGGGAACGUUAAACCUUUCCUCCAGCAGCUUUCGUGUUUUAAAUUGUAUUCAUCCGCCAUGGAAAGACAUCAGAAGCCCAGGAUCUAAGAGACAGACUGAAAUGAAGAAAGUAGAUAAUAUUGUGAGAAUAAUGAACAAGCUGGUCACUGAACAGCAGAACCGUAAUGGAGUCCCAGUUAAAGGGUUUUAACUUUAUUUCGUCACUUUUUGCAAGCAUGAUACAAAGAAAACAAACACCUAACUACGCUACGGUUUAUAGUUAAAAGGAAGGUGGAAGAUCCUGAGUCAUUACAGCAAUCACAAAACAUGAUGGAUUUCUUCAUUUAAAAACACAAAAGAGGUCUUGGCAUAGUUUUCAAGGGCAAAGCAUGACAAGACUCUCCAGUGCUUUCUUUCAUCCCCCUCUGUGUGCCUUUUUCUGCCUGACUCACAGCCUGGCUCAAUCCUAAUCUUUCUACUGCAAAGAUGCAGCAUUUAAAGCAAUUUUUCCUGUGCAGUAUUUGUAGAAUGACAGAUCCUGCCAGAAGCUCUUGGAAACAUUUUGGAACUAUCUUGCUUUUCUGUAUGUUAUGAUCCAUCUAGCACCGUUUUCCUCCUGUGGUAGCAAAUGACACUUUUUUCAAGCAUCAGCAGCAGAAAUGAGUCUACCAGAUGGAAUAAGAUACUGGUAAAGGGAAAGAUUUGUUUCUAAGACUGCACAAAUGAAUGCACCCAAAUCUGUGAGUUGAUUAAUCUGUGAAGAAAUACAACUGGCAGUAUUUACAUAUCUCAAUGAGUCUCAAAGUGUGGUCGAGGAAGCCCUGGGGGUCCUUGGGACCCUUUCAGAGGUUCCACGAGCUCAAAUCUAUUUUCAUAACCAUGCUAAGUCUUUAUUUCCUUUUCCACUCCAGAGGCUAUAUAAUGUCUGAUGACAUCAUCGCUUUAUAGGAUGAGAGAAUACGUGCUUGUAUAUUCUUGUGUUUGUAAGACUUUCCAGGUUUAAUUUAUUACCAUAUGGCAAUUUUCAAUAAGUAUAACCCACAAAACCCAACAGAUUUUUGGGGCACCUCUAACAAGGGUCCUAAGACCAAAAUGUUUGAGGACUGCUAAUCGAUAUUAUUCAAUUGUCUAGUCCCCUAAACUCCAACCCUUCUUAUCAGGACUACAGAGAGAAAACAGGUGGUCUUCUUGACAAUCGCUUUGUAUUUACAUUCAGUGCUUUAGUAGAAGAGAAGAAAGAAAGAGAAAGCAAGCCAGAGAGGCCUCGGAAAGAGAAGCCUACUUAUUAAAAAUAGCUUUCUGGCUGGUCACGGUGGCUCACUCCUGUAAUCCCAGCACUUUGGGAGGCCGAGACGGGCGGAUCACUUGAGGUCAGGAGUCUCAGACCAGCCAGGCCAACAUGGCGAAAACACGUCUCUACUAAAAAUGCAAAAAUUAGCCGGGCAUAGUGGCAUGCACGCCUGUAGUCCCAGCUACUUGGGAGGCAGAGGCAGGAGAGCCACUUGAACCCAGGAGGCGGAGGUUGCAGUGAGCGGAGAGCGAGACUCGCGAGUACUCGUCUCAAAAAACAAAACAACAAUAACAAAAACAGCUUUCCAUCCCUUCCCUGAGGCUUGGGUACCUGAACCACGUUAAUCUGUAAAUCACUGCUUCUGUAACUUUUCCUUGGUAUAAAUCACAUAGGCAAUGAGGUUGGGUAUAAACAGUAAUUGUCCUUGAAUUGGGUAGAUGUUUUCUUAUUAUUUUUGUCUAAGAGGUCAUUGCGAUAGGCAGAAUUCUAAGAAUGAUCCCCAGUGACGCUUGCCCUUGUAUAACCCCCACCCAUUUGAGUGUGAGGUGAAACCUAUGAAUUUGAUGAGGCAAUACUCCUGUUAUUAUGUUACGUUUUAUGACAGAUGUGAGAUUUUCCAGGUGGGCCCAAUCUAAUCACAACAGCCCUUUAAAAGCAGAGAUUUUCCGUCUGCUAAGAGCAGAAGAGGAAGUCAGAGAGAUUUGAAGGAUGAGAAGAAUUUGACGUGCUGCUGUUGGAGGGGGCUACAUACCAAGAAAUGUGGGCAUCCUAUAGCAACUGAAACUGGCUCCUGGCUGACAGCCAGCAGAGAAUCAGGAUAUCAGUCCCAGAAUCAUAAGGAACUGAAUUCUGCUAAAAACCUAAAUGAGCUUGGAAGUGGGAUUCUUCCGAGAAGAGCCCAGCCGGGUCACCAUCUUAAUUUUGGUCUGCGAAACCGUAAGCAGAGAAUCCACUCAAGCCCACCUGGAUCUACAGAACUGUGAGCUAAGCUGAUGUGGUAAUAUUUUAAAGCCGCUAAAUUUUUGUUCAUUUGUUGUGCAGCAAUAGGAAUCUAACACAAAGGUAAAUAGAAUAUAUUUUUUAAAUCGAGGCAAUAUUCACAUAACAUAAAAUUAACCAUUAAUUAAGUGUACAACCCAGUGGCAUUACUACAUUCAUAAUAUUGUGAAACCAUCACUUCUGUCUAAUUCCAAGACAUUUUCACCACCCUACAGGAAACUGAUACCCAUUAAGCAGUCACUCCCUGUUCCCUCCUCCCCUUAGUCCCUGGCAAACACUAAUAUGCUUUCUGCCUAUGGAUUUGUCUAUUCUGGAGGUUACAUACAAUUUGUGACCUUUUGUGUCUAGCUUCUUUCACUUAGUUUAAUGUUUUAAAGAUUCAUCCACAUUGUAGCAUGUAUCAGUACUUCGUUCCUUUUUAUGGCUAAGUAAUAUGUGUAUAUACAACAUUUUGUUUAUCCAUCAAUUGAUAACAUUUGGAUUAUUUUUACUUUUGUCUAUUGUGAAUAGUGCUGCUAUGAACAUUUGUAUGCAAGUGUGUAUUUGAAUAUUUAUUUUUAUUUCUUUGGGGUAUAUACCUAGGAGUAGAAUUGUUGUGUCAUUUGGUAAUUCUGUGUUUAUCUAAGAAACUGCCAAACUGUUUUCCACAGGCUGCAUGAUUUCACAUUCUCAUAAGUAAUGUACAAAGGUUCCAAUUUGUCCACAUCCUUGCCAACACUUAUUUUCCUUUUUAUAGUAGCCAUCCUGGUGGGUGUGAAGUGGUAUCUCAUUGUGGUUUUGAUGUACUUCUCUAAUGACUGAUGUUGAGCAUCUUCUCAUGUAUUUGUUGGCCAAUCAUAUAACUUCUUUGGAGAAAUGCCUAUUCAAGUCCUUUGCCCCUCUUUGAUUCAGUUGUUUGUCUUUUUGUUGUUGAGUUAGAAGAGUUCUUUAUAAAUUCUAGGUACUAGACCUUUGUCAGAUAUGAUUUGCAAAUAUAUUUUCUUCCAUUCAGUAGGGGUAAAUAGAAUAUUGAGAGACUUUUUAUAUAGUAAUAUAAAAAAGCAUGAAGGGAUGUGUUUUGCAAAAAGUAAGAUUACACAGUAUUAUACAACUAUGUUAUACACUUUGGCUCUUGGUUUUCUCUCUAAGGAAUAACUCAUGAAGAACAUUCCAUGUGUUAAGGUAUACCUCUAAUUCUUUCUAAUGCCUACAUAAUAUCCUAUUGCAUGGGUGUGCUAUUCACCCCCUACUUAUGGUUAUUCAUUCUGUUUCUAGUUUUUGGCCACUGCCAACAAUGCUGCAGUUAACAUCCUUGUACAAUAUAUGUUUAUGUAUUUUAAAUUUCAGUUUAAAAGGAUUUAUUCUGAGGAGUAGUAUUUCUGGUUUAAAGAGUAUAUGUGUUUUUAAUUUUAAUAGAUAUUGCUCAAUUGUUUUACAUUAAUAACUUACAUUUUUACUAGCAAUAUAUGAAAACAUUCUUUCUGCACUGCAUCCUUGAUUACAGUUAUAAUCAAACUUUACAAUUUUUGCUUAUCUAAUAGGUAUAAAUCAGUGGUUCUCAAUCGGUAAUGAUUUUGUCCCACAGGGGACAUUUGGCAAUGUUUGGAGACAUUUUUGAUUGUCAAAAUGGCGGGGGGACGGGGGGGCGGGGCGGGUGGUGCUACUAGCUUCUGUGGGCAGAACCAGGGAUUCUGUUAAAUAUCCUGCAAUAUACUCGAGGCGUCACCCACAACAGAGUUGUCCAUCCCAGACUGCCACUAGUGAGAAAGAUAAGAAACCAUGGUAUAAAGAUACCUCAUUGUGGCUGGGUGAGGUGGCUCAUGCCUGUAAUCCCAGCAUUCUGGGAGGCCAAGGUGGGCGGAUCAUGAGGUCAAGAGAUCAAGACCAUCCUGGCCAACAUGGUGAAACCCUGUCUCUACCAAAAAUACAAAAAUUAGCUGGGUGUGGUGGCGCACGCCUGUAGUCCCAUCUACUCGGGAGCCUGAGGCAGGAGAAUCACUUGAACCCGGGAGGCAGAGGUUGCAGUGAGCAGAGAUCGACGCGACUGCACUCCAGCCUGAGACUGGACUCCGUCUCAAAAAAAAAAAAAAAAAAAAAAAGGUACCUCAUUGUAUCUUCAAUUUGAAAAUCUUUAUGAAUGAGUUUGAGCACUUUUUUCCAUAUGUUUGUCAGCUACUUGGAUUUAUCCUUCUGCAAAUAGCCUAUCCAUAUUAUUUGCCCAUUUUUUCUUUUGGUGGCUUAUCCCUCUCAUUAAUUUAUUCUAAAGAGCUUUUUAUAUUUUUUAAUCAUUUAUUUUUCCUAUUCGAAAACAUUUAUUUUUCAAAUAUACUUUUUAUUGACUUUUGUAGUAUCUUUGCUAGAUGGUAAAAUAUUAUUGUAGACAUUAAAACAAGGUCUGAAAAAAUGGUCAGACAUACUGUGUCUUUGGAUGAGAAAAGAAGCAUCAUAAAAAUGUCCUUUUCCUAAAGUUAAUCUGUAACUUUAACACAAUUCCAAUUGGAUGUACAAAUCAGACGUUUUUAAUCUAUGGACUAGUGCAGGCUAGAAAGGAGCAUUGAUUCAUACCUAUUGUGUGACAUGUAGAAUUUUAGAGCAAAAAGAAGCAUUAAGAUUGGUCUGUCCAUUGCAUUACUUUUCUGAGGAAGACACUAAGUUACAGAGGAGUUAAGGGACAUAUGAUAUGCUAAAAUUGGAAACAUUCUGGUUAGCCCAAUUUGAACUUUGUUCUAGAAAUGAUGGAAUUCAAUAAAAAAUAAUUAUAAUCAUAAACUGUUAAUUUUAGAAAAAAACAUUGAAAUUGAGACCAAGAAAUGUAAAUCAGCUUACCAAAAUAACCUAGAGAGUUAGCAGCAAAUUCUAAAUAGUCUUUGGUCAUGCAAACUUACAAUUCAAUACUAUUCCUCCAUGCCAUGUAACCUCUUAAGUGCUUGCCUAGUUAAUGUUUCUUCACUUUCAAUAUACUGGUACCGCAAAGCAGUUCGCCUGGAAAAACAGAGUAUUGAAACGCCUUUCAAAGAUAUUUACUAGAACUUGGAUUCUUACUUCAUCCCUGUAAGUAUGAUAGGUACAAAUACACAUUUUUUCUCAAUUUAUAGGUGGGAACACUGAGGGACAAAGAAUCUUAGUCCUUCUAGGUCACAUUUAUUUCCUCAACAUGAGUAUAUUGACAGCCUGUUGUUCAAGGCCUUGCACUUGGUACUACAGCAAAGAUAAGACAGUCCCCAACCUCAGAGAGCUCAUACGGUGAAUCAGUCACCCAAGAACCACUCCAGGCUAUGCCCCUGAGAUGCUCCUAAACUGAUGACUUAUUUCACAAACAGAACCAAGUUCUGUUCUGACAAUAAUCACAGAUGAAAUGACUUGCUGUGCCAUCCAGUAAAAUGCUAGUUCAGCUCACAAGUGACUCUCUUCUUUGUUUCUUAAAUGCUUGACCCAGAAUUUUGCAUGUAGUCAUCAAGACAUCGCCCCACAGCUGAGCUGUGUCAUGGAACAGCCAGCCCAUCUAAAAGGCUGCCUACUCAUCAGCCUGCUCAGCCUGUGUGGGCUGGGAAUGUGGUGCCAUGCAGGGGAGGCAUUCCCCCCGUUGCAUGGUACCACAUACCCUUUGGGAAAGAGCUCUGUGCCUGCCCCAUAAACACUCUGUGGCACCAUUCCUCCCUCCUGACUCUGCCUGUCUUCUGCCAUCCUUUGAUGUGUAAAUUGGAAAACUGUCAUCACCUAUUGAUCUCAAAAAUGUCAUCCUAUGUGAAAAGUUAGUGCACUCUGGAAGAACAAACUGGUUAUUAACCAUAAUUCAGUUAUUAUUAAACCACUAUCUUCAUCCUCUGACUUGCAUUUAUUUGAUUGUAGUUUCUUGCCUCUAGUCUCACCCUAGCCCAGGCCAAUCUUUAUACCACAGUAAGAAGAAUCUUCCUCAAAUCUGAUAUUACCCUUGCCCUGAUCUCUGAUUGUUUAGGAAUCUCUGGUGCUUAAUAAAUAAAGUAGAAACUUCUUAUUUCUGACUUCUGCUAACUGCUUCAAUCUCAUUUUCUACUAAUGUCCAUUAAUGCUCACCAGUUUCUCAAGUUGUCAUUCAGAUGUCUUAUCUCCUUCACCACUACCACCCUAGUUCAGGCCAUCAUUAUUUAUCUUCUGAGCUGUUACCCUAGCUCCUAACCCAUUUCUCUGACCACAGCCUUCCCCUACUAGUCUAUUUGCCCAGCAGGUGGAUUGACCUCCCUAAAGCCUAAAUUGAAUUAUGCCACUCUUCUGCUCAGAUUCCUCCAGUGGCUUCCCAUCAAAUUUUGAAUUAAAUCCUAAGUUUUUACUGUGGUCUGUAAGGCCCUACCUGAUAUACUCACUCCAUCUCAGUAUAUCUCUAAUCUCAUCUCCUAUGACUGUCCACCUUCCCACUCUGGGCUAUUCACGCUGGCUUCUUCAUUGUUUCUUGUAUGUACUAAGCACACUUCUACAUCAGGACCUUGGCCCUUGCUAUUCUGUCUGCCUAGAACAGUCUCUUCUUAGAUAUUAGUAUGAUGCCCUCCCUCACUACUUUCAGGUUUCUGCCUAAUUAUCACCUUAUUCUACUUAAAAUAGCACACAUUCCCAUCCUGGCCACCUUCUAUUCUUCUACCCUGCUUUCUUCAUCUUAGCACUCGUCCCCACUUGCUAUAUUAUAUAUUUAUUUAUUUUGCCUGUUUCUGAGAAUAAGCACUACAAUAAGAGCUCCAUAAAAGCAAUGGCUUUGUUUUUGUUUACUGUUCUAGAACAGUGCUUGGCAACAUACUCAUACUUGACACAUAUUUGUUGAAUGAAUGAAGUAAGUGUCAAUUCCUCUCUGCACACUUCUCUGAUGCCUCUUGGGCAAUUGCUCUGUUUUCUGUUCCCUUGGAACUAUGUAUAUACCUCUACUAUAGCUAUCACAUUUUAUUGUAACUUUUUUUCCUCACCAGCCUAUAGAAUCCUUAAAAGCAGAUGUCUUAUCAUAUCCUUCCUAACACAAAUUUGGUGAAAAUGAGUAGAGUGAAUGAAGGUCGAAGAAGAAUAGCAAUACAGCCACUCUGCAGAUUCGAGGAUGGACAUGUUUGAGCCCUCAUUAAUCCCAUCUUCAGGAGGCUGCAUUGGUACUAUAUGUGGCAUUUAUUUCAAUAGAGAUGCUCAAGGCAAAAACGAUAUUUUACUGGUCUACAAGUUCCCAAAUUUCCUUUAGGAAAAUACUUGGGUAUUAUCCCGUAAACUACUUGAGUGGCUGAAGCUUUAAAAACAAGCAUCCUGGCUAACACGGAGCAACCCCGUCUCUACUAAAAAUACAAAAAAUUAGCCGGGCAUGGUGGCGGCGCCUGUAGUCCCAGCUACUCGGCAGGCUGAGGCAGGAGAAUGGCGUGAACCCGGGAGGCGGAGCUUGCAGUGAGCCGAGAUCGUGCUACUGCACUCCAGACUGGGCGACAGAGCGAGACUCCGUCUCAAAAAGAAAAAAAAACAAGCUAAUAUGUAACAGUUCUGUCAUAAGGCCAUAUCACAAACAGUGAUAACGUGGAAUUCAAUAGGAAAAUGAAAUAGAUGUUCAUAGAAAAAAGACUUUAACACAUUAUCCAUCUGGAUGCCAUGAGUUCUGUGGACCUCCCUCAUACAGACUCUAGGAAUCAAUCUAGGGGAAAUUUUGUUGUGAUCCAAAAAUGUCACUGGAUUAGGAAUUGAGAACCCUAAAUUCUCACUCAGGUUUUUCUAUAAAUAGGCUACAUGACUUCAGAUAAAUGGCUGCAUGUUGUAUCUGAGGUUCCUCUAACAUGGGUGUUAGGAGUAGAUGAUCUCCAUAAGCCUUCUAGCUAUAAAGUUCACUGACUCUAUUGAUUCAGCUGGGAGACUGUACCUAAGUAACAAGAACAGACUGAGUACUGGAAGAGGAAUGUAUUCUCUCUCAACAUCAAUGACCUUGAAUGUGAGAGUGAUUACAGAGUUUUGACACCUAGCAGUGCCUGGACCCAGGUCUCAAAUCCUGUUUGUACUCCUGCUCCUAUAGACACAACUGCUUUUCCCAAACUUGCAGAAACUGGACUCCCACUAAGAUGGAAAAGGGUGCCGGCCGCGGUGGCUCACACCUGUAAUCCCAGCACUUUGGGAGGCCGAGGCGGGCAGAUCACGAGGUCAAGAGAUCAAGACCAUCCUGGCCAACAUGGUGAAACCCUGUCUCUCCUAAAAAUACAAAAAUUUGCUGGGUGUGGUGGCACGUGCCUGUAGUCCCAGCUACUCGAGAGGCUGAGGCAGGAGAAUCGCUUGAACCUGGGAGGCGGAGGUUGCAGUGAGCCGAGAUCUCGCCACUGCACUCCAGCCUGGGGACAAGUGAGACUCCGUCUCAAAAAAAAAAAAAAGAUGGAAGAGGGAAAGGGUUUGAGACACUAGCUGGAUUUGAGAGAUAUGUUUAGCUGAGGUCUUAGGAAGGAGACUGCAAACUUGCCAGCAUUGUAGUGAUUGGCUAAGCUCUGCUGUUGGAUUUUUCUCUGAGAAUGAGAAUGAAUGUGGCCCAGCAUUCAGGGUGUCUCCUUUGGGAGUUCCCAUGGGGCUUCCAGAGAUUGCCAGAGGCACACUGGGAGCAGUCACAGUUACCUAUGAGGUGGCAGUUCUGCAAGCCCUGUCUGUGACUCAAAGCAGCCUCCUUGUUUCCUCACAUCAGACAGACUUCCAUUAAGAAUGGGGUUCAUGUGAGACCAGAAGGGGCUGGACUAUAUAUUUAGCCAAGACAGGUGGUGAAAUAAUUUAUUUUCUGAUAUACUUUAUCUUUCUUAGAGAAUGUAUCAGAACUUUUUUGGGAAAGAGUGAUGAGUCUUGAUUUGUAAAAGCAUGUCACCUCUUAUGGUAAUCUCCAAAGCAGCAUUUACAAUCACAUGUGAAUGAGUCAUAAACUAAGAAAUGUUGAAUGAUCUGAAAUAAGGGUAUGUUGAUUUCUCUCAUCAAAUAUUCAUUUUUGGCAACAUAAUGGACUCAAGGCACAGAUAUUAAGUGCUUUGAAAUUCUCAAAGCCACAAAGACAGGCCAUAUCUAUGAAUGUUUCUGAUAUGUGACUCUCCUCCCUCCUUCCCUCUUAAUGAGGUAUAAAUGCAUUCAAACACACAGUCACACAUUUAUUUUAUCUCCUCUCAGUUAUGUGUUCUCCAUGUGGUUUGGUGAGAUAUUUUAAAAUACUCUUCAAUGGAUAAUUAAAGGUUCAAAAAAUUUUAUGUAAAAUUCUCCCAGAUAGAAGAGAUUAGUAAAGAAAUAUUCUUUCCAAGUCUCAAUCUGAAUACAAUACUGAUUCAGGACCCCCGUCCAGGUUCUCAUAACUGCAAAUUCCCAAUAUGCUGUUCAGCUUUUGUCUCCUUCUCAAUUCUGAUUUUCAAGAUGAGAGUUCUUGGCUGGAAUAUUUGCUAACAGUGAGAAGACAUCUUCAGUUCUUGGUGAGGCAUUCAGGUAUUACAGAACAUGACUAUUUAAGCCGUGUGUGUGCAUGCUUGUCACAUCCUGCCUGGUAAAUAAUUUCUGGUUUUUAUAUACAUGACUUCCUCUCCCACUAACUGUAGGGAUUUUUGUGAUUAGAAACUAAGUGUGGUCUUUAUCUUUCCUGGUGUCUCCUGUGGUGUUUUAAAUAUAAGAGUUGUCCAGUAAGUGUUUGGUGGACACAUUUCUGAGUCCUCAUGAAUUAUACUUUCAACCUUCACUAAUGCUUUUUUGCAGCUCAUUUACAGGUAUUAUAACAUUCCGUUUAGCUAUAGAUGAAGCAUUCCAUCCUUAUAGUUAGCCAAGUUCUUCUAUUGUGGUGUAGAGAUCUUUAGGUGAAACCAUCUUUAGAGUCUGUCAUGAACCACAGGGUGAAAAAGACCUAUCUGUAUUACAGUAUGAACAUCCUUUCAGGAGAGGUCUACAUUCAUGCUUUUGCAUAUAACUCAUAUCAGUUUAAUUUCUAACCUCUUCUUCUUUAGCUUUCCAUUGGCAUUCCAUAGCAGAAGCUCUUCCUAAUGUGAAAUACAAGAGAAGAUCUACAGAUUCAAGAAUUUGUGUCUGGGAGGUCCACCAAGAACUCUGAACCUCAGUUCUUUAUUCUCCAAAGGAUACUUUGAUAUGUACCCAUCAGUGAGGACAGGGACUUUGUACAAGAAAGAGAAAUUAAUGAAACUUGUGAGCAUCUGAAUAUUCUGAUAUCUUACCUCCCCACUCCCACCCUAUCUAAAACCUCAUCACCUGGCUUAGCAUAUAAAGAGCUUAAUGGUGGGAUACAUCAGGCUGACCUAGGUUUAGGACCUAGCCACCAUUAUAACUUUUGGCAGCCUAGGACAAGGUAUCAUUCCCUUCUAAGGCUCAGUUUUCUCAUGUAAAAUGGAGAUAAUAAUAUCCACUUCUUGGGGUAGUUGGGAGGAUUAAAUAAGAUUAUAUAUGAUAAAUGUUCUCCAUAGUACCUAGCACAAAAUUAAUCUUUAAAAAAAGGAGAUCUAUUAUUAUCUAAGUACCAUAGUGGGCCAGCUUCCAAGUACUUAGGAAAGAUCCUUGCACAAAGUAGGAGCUCUUUAAAUACUGUGCAGGCAGCAAAUGCCAGUUACGUUUUCAAAUUUGGCUUUUGUUUAUUUUGUCAGAGACUAGAGCAUAUUCAUGAGCAGAGGAAAAAGAAGAGAUCCAGAGUAUACCAAAUUUUCCUUAAACAACUUUAUUGAGGUAUAAUUUUUGUCCAAUAUCACCCAUUUUAAGUAUAUAUUAAAUAUAUAUUUGAUAAGUUUUGACAAACAUAUGUAAUCACACAUAUGAAACAAGUCCCUGAGGUAUGGAGGUACUGGGAUCCAAAACAGAAAUAUAAGGUGUGACCUGACUAAGAAAGGAAAAUUCACCCUGUCAGGUGGUCAAACCAGAAUGACUCCAUUUUGAGUGAGGGCUAGGAAAAUGAGGCUGAGACUUGCUGGGCUGCAUUCUAAAAAAGUUAGGCAAUCCUAGCUCUUAGAUGUUUAUGGUUAAGGGGACAAAUUAAUAAUGUUUACUAAACACACCCAGAUUUAGGAGUGUCCGGGUAUCCCGAUAUCUGGAGAAUAAAGGCAUUCCUAAUUUUGCUUUAAAGACAGUAGUAUCAAUUCUUGAAAAAUAUAGUAAUUAAGAAAAUUCAUCCUUCAUCACAAACCCUAGUAGCAGAACACAUCUCCCCAUAUAAUACAAGCAUUGUACCUAGGGUGAGUGUGUUCCUCCUCUUACUUUCAGGAAUGUCCUACUCUGUCUAUAGAAUAGCUGUUCUUCCACCACUUUACUUCCUUAAUAAACUUGCUUUCUCUUUGCACUGAGGACUCACCCUGAAUUCUUUCUUGCACAAGAUCCAAGAACCCUUUCUUGGGGUCUGGAUUGGGACCCCUUUCCUGUAACGGCCUCAGGCUCCCCAGGGAAGGAGUUAAGGUGGAUGAAAAUGUAGAUAAAUAGGCACUAGGAGGGGGUAGGAGAUGACAUUGAAAACAUUCCCUAAUGUUAUCUAUUUCUCCUAUGUGAUAAGAGGCAAGGUACUUGCUGAAAAAAAGGUAAACAAGGAUGAGACAGGUUCUACCUUAGAAUAUGAAAGUUUAAAUAGCAUAUGUGGGGAGCGACUGACAAGGAAUGUGAAUAGAAAUUGCCCAGCUAGGUCUGUGUAUAUGUUACAGCCUGGGUGUAGCACGGAGAGUGUGAGUGCUAGACUAAUUCAAGGUUGGGGGCUUCUCAGGGGGUAAGAAUGAGGAGCAGAAGGCUGGAGACAAGAGUUUUCCCCAGGGUUUGUAAGUAUUGUUGAUGAACCAUGGGUGUGUGCUGCUUAGAGAAGGAAGGGAAGCCAUGAGGGGACCCAGAGGUAUCAUGUAAUGAAGGGACUGAGAGAGCUGGGUAUCUCCAUGAAAUGUGAGAGUGGGUGGGGUGGGAGUUCACACGAGCUGAGAUGCACAGGGAGUUUCUUGCUAGUUGGAUUUAACAUUCCAUGGAGGACAUAUUCUGAAGGAUGAUGUAUUAGUUUUCACACUGCUAUAAAGAUACAACUGAAGACUGAGUAAUUUUUAAAGGAAAGAUUUAAUUGACACAUUGCACGUGGCUGGGGAGGCCUCAGGAAACUUACAAUCAUGGCAGAAGGGGAAGCAGGCACAUCUCACAUGGCAGCAGGUGAGAGAGAGAGAGAGAAGUCCAGGGGAAACUGCCAUUUAUAAAACCAUCAGAUCUUGUGAGAACCCUCUCACUAUCAUGAGAAUAGCACUGGGGAAAAUCACCCAUAUGAUUCAGUCACCUCCCACCAGGCCUCUUCUCAACAGCUGGGGAAUAUAAUUCAAGAUGAGAUUUGGGUGGGUACACAAAGCCUAAUCAUAUCAGAUAACAAAGUUCAUGUUGUGCUCACAGAAAUCAGCUCUUCACAUACAGUGGAAUGCAAAGUUAAUUUGUUAAUAAUGGAUAGAAAAGAAAGAAUAAUUUUGACAACACUAAGCUUUUUUUUUUUUUUUUUUUUGAGAUGGAGUUUCACUUUGUUGCCCAGGCUAGAGUGAAGUGGUGCAAUCUCUGCUCACUGCAACCUCCGCCCCCAGGGUUCAAGUGAUUCUCCUGCCUCAGCCUCCUGAGUAGCUGGGAUUAUAGGUGCCUGCCACCAUGCCUGGCUAAUUUUUGUAUUUUUUAGUAGAGAUGGGGUUUCACAAUGUUGGCCAGGCUGGUCUCGAAGUCCUGACUUCAGGUGAUCCACUGCCUCGGCCUCCCAAAGUGCUAGGAUUACAGGCAUGAGCCACAAUGCCUGGCCCAACACUGGGCUUUUAAAAAGCACUGCCAGUGUUUCAGUGGGUAGUGUUCUUACCCAUAGUCUUGGGAGACAACUAUUACAUUGCAUACUGCUUAAUUCAUUAGCAAAUCCUAUUGACUUUGCCUUCAAAAUAUGGCCGGAAUUCCACCACUCUCACCAUUUUUAUUGCUACCACAGUUGAUAUGAAUAUCUGUAAUUGCAGCUAAAUUGGACUUCCUGCUAACAUCCUUGAUCCCCUAUAGUCUCUUCUUGUUAUAGCUGUCACAAAGAUUCUUUUAAAGCACAAGUCAGAUGAUAUUCUUCUCCGUUCAAUACUGUCCAAUAACUUCCCAUCUCAUUCAGCAAAUGAGCCCAAGGGCUGCUAGACCUAAAUAGCCACUCUAUUCCCCACCCUCUGUCUCUCUCCACCUUUCCCCACCCAUUUUAUUCUUUGAUCUCAACUUCUGCUCUCCCCCUUGCUCAUUUGGCUUCAGCCACCUGGUUCUCCUUGUCAAUCCUGGAUCACUACCUGCAUAUUUUUACUACAAAAUGUUUAUUCAUGGUUCUUUCUGCUUUCUAAGUUUUUUUUUUUCCUAUAUGUCUGUGGUAUUUACUUCCUCACUUCCUCUGCUCUUUGCUCAAACAUCAAGCUAGGGCCUCCCCUGACCAUCCUUUUUAAUGUUGACUUCCUCCCCACUACAAAUAUUCAGCUCCUGCUAUUGAUUUAUUUUUGCCAUAGGACUUAUUAUCUAAUAUCUUAUAUAUUUUUAUUAUGGUUUAUUGUCUCUUUCUUUCAACUUGUGAAUAAACUCCAUUCAAGUAGG
rnacentral:lncRNA from 1 species